GAGAGAUCACAUGUACCAGCUGAUGCGCAGAUUCUUCCCCACUGAAAUGGACAUUUCUGCCAAAGUCAAUGAGUAAAACUGACAGUGCGGAUGACUAACCUCCAGCCCAGAGCCUUUGGCAGCUCACACCUUUGUGCAAAGCACAAUCCAGAAGUUCCCUUUGGUUCUUUAUCAGCAUCUAUUUCUCUGAUGAGCUUGGUGAACUGCAUCAGCUAUAGGUACACUCCUUAAUGUCCUAGAACAAUACUAAAAUUUAAUUUAAAUUGAUUUUUCUCAAACAAUGAAUGUCCUGUAUAAAAUAUCUGACAAAGAAAAUAUGUGUUUUUCUUGUAUAAUACAUGCAUGUUUUGGAGACAU
rnacentral:lncRNA from 1 species